rnacentral:rRNA from 12 species
CUCGUGCUGCGCAGCACGAGAGUGCCUUAUGGUAAGCAGAACUGGCGACUGGCGGCUCUUUCGAGUCCGAGUUGUAAUUUUGAGACUGUUUUCUGCGCUGGAUUUGUACAACUCUGUUGAAAAACACCAUCAUUGAGGGUGAUAAUCCCGUUCAUGAUGUGGACUACCAGUGCACUAUGAUACAGUCUCUAAGAGUCGAGUUGUUUGGGAAUGCAGCUCAAAGUGGGUGGUAAAUUCCAUCUAAGGCUAAAUAUAGGUGAGAGACCGAUAGCACACAAGUACCGUGAGGGAAAGAUGAAAAGAACUUUGGAAAGAGAGUUAACACUACGUGAAAUUGUUAAAGGGAAACAAUUGAAGUUAGACUUGUUAUUAUUACUUCAGCCUUUUUAAAGGGAGUAUUCUGAUGAUUAACAGACCAACAUCUCUUUUUGGGUGUUGGAUAAGGGUUCAGGGAAAUGUAUCAGUCUCUGACUGUGUUAUAUUCCUGGGCUUUGAUACAAUGCUUAAGAUUGAGGAAUGCAGUAGACCUUUUAAGGUGGAACAAAUUAAUGUUCUUCUUACUGAGGAUGUUGGUGUAAUACCUUUAAAUGAACCGUCUUGAAACACGGACCAAGGAGUCUAACAUGCUUGCGAGUAUUUGGGUGUUUGAAACCCUUAUGCGUAAUGAAAGUAAAUGUAAAUGGGAUCUGUUAAGAACUGCACCAUUGACCAGUCCAGAUUAUGUUAUAUGAUGGUACUGAGUAAGAGCAAGUAUGUUGCGACCCGAGAGAUGGUGAACUAUGCCUGAAUACGGUGAAACCAGAGGAAACUCUGGUGGAAGCUCGUAACGGGUCUGACGUGCAAUCGAUCGUCUAAUUUGAGGUAUACCGGCGAAAGACUAAUCGAACCAUCUAGUAGCUGGUUCCUGCCGAAGUUUCACUCACGAUAGCAAGACUCGUAUCAUUUUUCAUUACGUAAAC